CAGAUUUCACAAAACGCAAAAAAGGUAUCAAUAUGAGGUUUAAGAAUCUGAAGUAUCUUCCAAAAUCUGAGAGGUAUAAGGCGUGGAGCGUGCUUUCAGAAGUCUUAAAAGAGCAACACUCCGAUGCGGAAAUUACAGAACUUGAACCACCA